rnacentral:tRNA from 1 species
GCACCGGUGGCGUAAUGGCGUAGAGCAUGGCGUUGCAAUCAAAACUCUAGCGCCAGGCGGGGCUCGAACCCGCCCGGCCAGCAGGACGUGCGGGUUCGAGUCCCGCCUGGCGCU